rnacentral:rRNA from 1 species
UUAGGAAUAUUGCACAAUGGGGGAAACCCUGAUGCAGCGAUGCCGCGUGAAGGAAGAAGGGUUUCGGCUCGUAAACUUUUAUCGAUAGUGAAGAAACAAAUGACGGUAACUAAGUAAGAAGCCCCGGCAAACUAUGUGCCAGCAGCCGCGGUAAUACAUAGGGGGCAAGCGUUAUCCGGAUUUACUGGGUGUAAAGGGUGCGUAGGCGGCAUAUCAAGUCAGUUGUGAAAGACCGGUGCUUAACAUCGGGAACGCAACUGAAACUGAUAAGCUAGAGUAAAGGAGAGGCAAGUGGAAUUACUAGUGUAGAGGUGGAAUUCGUAGAUAUUAGUAAGAACACCAGUGGCGAAGGCGACUUGCUGGCCUUAUACAGACGCUGAGGCACGAAAGUGUGGGGAGCAAACA